AGGGCUUUUAUUAGCUUAAAAAAAGCGCAUAUCUAAUAUCUUCAGAAACCACCAGAUCUUCACAUAUACGCUCCCCAGACACACGCUCCCCACACGACUCCUUCACUUCUCCUCCUGCCGCCACAGAUCGCCGGCUCCCACCAUCACCGAUCAAACUUCCACAGAUGGAAACUAAUGAUGGUCGACAACAAUGGAUGCAUGAGGCUAUCAAAUGCAUGUUAGAAACAUGUUUUGAAGAAAUAGGGAGAGUAGGUAGAAAUAGACAAAGCUUGCGUAGAGAGUCUUGGGGUAGGGUAGGAGCGAAACUUAAGGAAGAGUUUGGAUUUGAUUUGAAUCAAAAGCAAAUUAGAAAUGCUUUUGAUACCAUGAAAUCAAAAUACGUAGGAUGGUGCUAUUUGAGAAACAAGACUGGAAAUCUCUACAACCCACAAACAAAUAUGUUCACUUUAACGCCUCAAGAAUGGGAUGACUUUAAGAAGGGUCACCCAAGGGCAAUGUCAUUG